rnacentral:tRNA from 1 species
GGCAGGAUAGCUUAGUUGGUUAAAGCGAAGGAUUCAUAAACCUUAGACCUCGGGUUCGAAUCCCGAUCCUGCUA